ACUAAGACUAGCCCAAACACCCAUCAACUAAACUAUCACAUAACCAAUCAAUCAAAACAUUCACUAAUACAUUAAAGUAUAGGAGAUAGAAAUUUUACUUGGAGCUAUAGAGAAAGUACCGUAAGGGAAAGAUGAAAGAAAUCUCUAAAGUAAUAAACAGCAAAGAUUAACCCUUUUACCUUUUGCAUAAUGAGCUAGCCAGAACAAUCUUAGCAAAGAGACCUUAAGUUAACUUCCCCGAAACCAGACGAGCUACCCAUAAACAACCCGCCGGGGUAAACUCAUCUAUGUAGCAAAAUAGUGAGAAGAUUUAUAGGUAGAGGUGAAAAGCCUACCGAGCCUGGUGAUAGCUGGUUGCCCAGAAUAGAAUUUUAGUUCAACUUUAAAUUUACCCAACAAACUCCAAAUUUUAAUGUAAAUUUAAAAUAUAAUCUAAAAAGGUACAGCUUUUUAGAUAAGGGUACAGCCUUGAUUAGAGAGUAAAAUAUAAUAAAACCAUAGUAGGCCUAAAAGCAGCCAUCAAUUAAGAAAGCGUUCAAGCUCAACAGCCAGACCAUCUUAAUCCCAAUAAUUUCAAAUUAACUCCUAAUGCACUACUGGGCUAAUCUAUUAAAUAAUAGAAGCAAUAAUGCUAGUAUGAGUAACAAGAAACCAUUUCUCCCCGCACAAACCUAUAACAGACAACGAAUAAUCGCUGAUUAGUUAACAGCAAGAUGAUAAUAAUCCAACCAUAAAACGCUCAUCAAACCAACUGUUAAUCCAACACAGGAGUGCAACUAAGGAAAGAUUAAAAGAAGUAAAAGGAACUCGGCAAACACAAACCCCGCCUGUUUACCAAAAACAUCACCUCUAGCAUCAAUAGUAUUAGAGGCACUGCCUGCCCAGUGACACUAGUUAAACGGCCGCGGUAUUCUGACCGUGCAAAGGUAGCAUAAUCAUUUGUUCUCUAAAUAAGGACUUGUAUGAAUGGCCACACGAGGGUUUAACUGUCUCUUACUUCCAAUCAGUGAAAUUGACCUUCCCGUGAAGAGGCGGGAAUAAAAAAAUAAGACGAGAAGACCCUAUGGAGCUUAAAUUAAUUAACUCAUAAUGGAUUCACAACCAACCGACCGGCAAUAACAUAAUUCCAUCAAUGAGCUAACAAUUUUGGUUGGGGUGACCUCGGAGUAUAAAACAACCUCCGAGUGAUAAAAACCUAGACUAGACCAGUCAAAGUAUUACUAUCACUUAUUGAUCCAAAAAAUUUGAUCAACGGAACAAGUUACCCUAGGGAUAACAGCGCAAUCCUAUUUAAGAGUUCAUAUCGACAAUAGGGUUUACGACCUCGAUGUUGGAUCAGGACACCCCAAUGGUGCAGCCGCUAUUAAAGGUUCGUUUGUUCAACGAUUAAAGUCCUACGUGAUCUGAGUUCAGACCGGAGCAAUCCAGGUCGGUUUCUAUCUAUUAAACAAUUUCUCCCAGUACGAAAGGACAAGAGAAAUGAGGCCAACUCUACCAGAGCGCCCCAAGACCAAUAGAUGAUAUAAUCUUAAUCUAGUUAGUCUACCCCUAUUUACAGCCCUAGAAAUAGGGCUU
rnacentral:rRNA from 1 species